rnacentral:rRNA from 1 species
UACGGAGGGGGCUAGCGUUGUUCGGAAUUACUGGGCGUAAAGCGCGCGUAGGCGGCUUUGUAAGUUAGAGGUGAAAGCCCGGAGCUCAACUCCGGAACUGCCUUUAAGACUGCAUCGCUAGAAUUGUGGAGAGGUAAGUGGAAUUCCGAGUGUAGAGGUGAAAUUCGUAGAUAUUCGGAAGAACACCAGUGGCGAAGGCGGCUUCCUGGGCUAAUACUGACACUGAGGUGCGAAAGCGUGGGGAGCAAACAGGG